AGUUUUAUUUUUACUCAGAUGAUACCCAAUAGAUCAACUUAAACUUUGAUGCAUUUUUAGCAUAACAGAAGCAUGUUGGUCUCUCAGUUGGCAUCAGAAAGAAAACAUUCUGUCAGGGGUUUUAUUUAACCCAGUUAGGCUCCAUACACAGCCUUUGCCUGGGGUGUAUUUGCUCUACCUCUGAUGUUCUGCUACCAGAAAAGAUUGUAUGCAGAAAGAGUACAUAUUUCUUUGGAGUAGACGUUCACUUAUAGACUUUAGAUAUGUCAGAAGGUUAGUGUAGAGACAUUCCUAUCCUUUGUACUUUUUUUUUUUUUUUUCCGGAUAGUAACAUACACAACUAAAUCAUUGCAAAAAUGCUUAGCAAACAUAAAAAACUAAUUUCAUCAUUUCUUGUGUUCUUGUUUUGAAUUUUUUUCUUCAAUAGAACUCAUAAAGUAAAAUCUCACCAAGAUCAUUGCAUAUAAAUAAGUGCAAACUAACAAAAAGGAAAUUAUUUGCAUGAAUGUCCUGUUAAUGCAAACCAAUUUCUCACAAUUCUAAAUUUGCAUUCUGCAAUGUGUUUUGUAUUUCUUAUCAGAUUUACAUGUUCCCAUGUGGGUAUGUAUAUUUUGUACAUAUUUCAUGCAUAUCCAUAACAGAAAAUGGUUUGGAGUUUUAACUAACAAAUAAGACAGAGGCAAAGAUUACUUUUUUCCCCUCAGAAUUUUACUCCAGGAUUUCUGGCUUUUCCUCACUUCUGUGUAGACCACAGUAAACAUUUGGAAGGCAUUUUGUGUGGCAAGUUUGUGCCUUGCAGUUUUUGAGCAACGCAAACUUCCCGUUAAAUAAAUGAAAACAGACCUUAGAAGGGGUGUGCUUCCAACACAUUCCCCUAAGAUCUGAGCACCGCUGUGCAUUCUUGCUCAAUUUAAACAAACUAAACUUCAGUUAGUCUCCCUCCCCUAAUGGGCACCCCCACUGGGAACAUUGUUAGGUUACCACCAUGGACAAGGCUUCAGUACAGCUGGAUAUGUAAACAAGACCAUAAUCCGCAUGAAAGGACUCUCAGAGUUUUGGCAGCGCUCUCUCGAUGUUGUUAACAUAUUGUGCCAAAGCAAUAACAAAGCCAUCAUUUUUAAGUUUGUUCACGGAUUUGUAUUAAUCAAGAAAUUUUCCAGAAAUUACUUCUAAAUGAGGAAACUUCCAGAAAGUUACCAUUUGGCAAGAAGGUUUCCAGAUGCUUCAUUCCCUCCGCCUCCGCCCCACCCCCAACCUUUUCUUUUCCCCUAUCUUCCACAUAUUCUUUCAAAUAAAUCACAAGUUUGUGGAAGUUCUGUUGAAACAGAAAACACAUUGCUGCUGUGUUGGCAAAGGGAGGCUCACUUCACGCCCUAUUUCAUCAAAGCCUGCCCAGGAUUGAAUGAUUUCUUCCUGUUAGCAAAGAGUGUCUACAAGGAUGUAUGUCGUAGCACAGACUUCUCCCUGGUGAUCUACUGCAGUAUCUAGAGGAUGUGUGGAGCAUCGCAGAGAGGCUCAGUGAACCGAUCUAGGAUGUUGAUUCUCUUUCCUAAACUACGCAUGUUGGAAAGCACUUUAAUUUGCUGAAACUGCCAGCAUCCUCUUGUUCUAAUUAUGGUAUUGUAUUCAGAAGCUCCCUAGAAGAUUACUUCAGGAAUUGAUGGCAAGAUCUAUAGCUUAUGCCCUCAGCUGAACUUCUCCACACAGCUCUUCCAUCAAUACAGUCAUAGACUGUGCAGCCCGGAAUUAGACUUGGAGGUGAGGAGUGAACACACCCACAUGUAUUGAGCAACGGUUUGAGUGCACUUCUACAGAAGACAGUUGGGCAGCACUUGGUACGGGAGCACAUGAAGAGCCAGAGAACUCCAAGUGAAGUCAGGCUGCUCUCAGUAGCAGUUCUAAGUUUGUUUAAACUGAAACAAAGAAGCUUUUGUGUCCACAUGAAUAAACUACCCAGGAGCUAGAGAUGGCUCCCUGAGAAAGACUAUUAGCUUGCACAGGGCAUUUUACUGUGGCUGAAGACAAUUCUCAAGAAGGGUUAUAGAGGUUGAUACUGACCAGAAACCCUCUUCUCUGAUGACUAGUUUGCCUGGUACCAGAAAGCACCAUAUGAAGGAUGCCACCAAUAGUCUUUUCCAGCUAUGACGCUUAUAAACUACAACAGUGACUAGGAUGACCCAAUAGCCUUAGAGAUGCAAUACUGGGAAACAUAUCUUGAUUGUAGCCAACAGCUCUUUCAUUGGAUUUAUGGCUUGUUAAACAAGAGGGCAAUCAUACCCAGUAUUGGAGACCUAGCCAACUAAUUGCUGCUAGUUAAGUAGUGAGAACUUAAAAUUGUCACUUUACCAACCAGCACAAUUCCUAACUACAUUUAAAAUAUUCAUCCUUAUACCCACAGGUUAGUGUAAUUCUCACCCCUCCUCAAGGAAACUUCUCUUUGCAACAGAUGGAGAUCAUUACAGCAAACUACAACCAAUCAAAAGGCAGAGGUGUGGAACUUUGUCUGAACUGACACAUCUACAACACAUUUUACAUCUCAGAGAUCACCGCAGAAGAGGGCAGAAGGAUUGUAAAUGCCAGAGGAACAGAAAGUUUGCUGUGAGAUUUUUUUCCUAUAAGUGUCAGAGAAGCUGCACCCAUAAAGGCUUACCACAAGGAUGACACCAAAACCAAAAAAAAAAAAAAAAAAAAAAACCAAAACAAAAGAGGGAAACAAAUAAACAACAACAACAAAAACCCACCAAACCAUUGUAUUUUCCCCUAAAUAUUUCAGGCUUGAAAUACUUAAGAAUUUAAACCUAAGAAUGCAAUAUAUAUAUAUACAUAUAUAUAUGUAUAUAAAUUUUAAUUUUAUUUUACAAUGUUUCAGAAGUGCUACGCAUGUUUUGAAUGUUGCUAUCCAGCCAGGCUAUUACUACAUGGCUGAUAGUUGAGAAUUUGAGUAGCAACCGUGAACCAUAGCUCAGAAUCAGUCAUGUAAUCAUAAAAAUAAUCAGUUAAUACUCUAUAGUCUACUAUGUUGUACAUUAUGAUAUUGUCUAGAUUAGGCAUGUGAAAGCAUAACUUGGUUAUGGUAUGGAAAAUUUAUAAUGGAUUUAUUGGGAUGUAACCCAUCAUAAGUCAAAGAAUUUCAAAAUUCCAUCAGCACUUGAAAAAUAAACAUGACAUUGAAUGGAGUGAGUUCAACUAUCACUUUAGAUUCUGUCCAUUGAUGGUGUUGACGAGUUUUUGUUUGUUUGUUUGUUUUUUUCAUGUUGAUCACUUCUCGAGCUUUGAGCUAAGAUCAGGUGUGGCACAUGCUUUCUGACUUUCUGCUAUGCUCUAUCAGCUGUCUGAGGGAUGUUAAUGAGUCUCUCACACCGGAUUUCCACAUUUGCCUAGCUUCAGGUUCAGUUUCUCCCAUUUUUGUAUCAUGUUUUGAUUGUGCACAUACAAUUAGAAUUGCCACAUCUUCUGAUUGCCUGUUCUUCUCUUUACCAUGAAGUCUACAUUAUCUGCUAUUAUGUAGCUGCUCCUUUUCUCCUUGGCUUGUUAGUUCACUCUUUAUAUUCAACUUACAUAAACACAGUAUUCUAUUUCAGAGAGCUUCUUUUAGACAACAAGUAGUUUGAUCAUAUUUAACAAUCAAUUCUGCUAAUAUCUGUCUUUUACCUAGCCCAUGCAGACAAUUUGCAGGUUGGGGUGUGCUUUAUGGCAGUGUUUGCCUAAGGUCUGUGGAGUUUUAUUGUUAGCACUGCAAGACCAUUUGCAUUUGAUAUAAUGAUUGACACAUUAGAAUUUAAAUCUAUUUUGUGUUUUCAUUUGUUUUGUCUUCAUGCUU